UACGGGGGGGGUAAGCGUUGUUCGGAAUUACUGGGCGUAAAGGGCUCGUAGGCGGCCAACUAAGUCGGACGUGAAAUCCCUCAGCUUAACUGGGGAACUGCGUCCGAUACUGGAUGGCUUGGAUUUGGGAGAGGGAUGCGGAAUUCCAGGUGUAGCGGUGAAAUGCGCAGAUAUCAGGAAGAACACCAAUGGCGAAGGCAGCUCUCUGGGACGGUACUGACGCUGAGACGCGAAAGCGUGGGGAGCGAACAGG
rnacentral:rRNA from 1 species